UAGAGUUUGAUCCUGGCUCAGGAUGAACGCUAGCUAUAGGCUUAACACAUGCAAGUCGAGGGGUAACAUGGGAGAAGCUCGCUUUUCCUGAUGACGACCGGCGCACUGGUGAGUAACGCGUAUCCAACCUGCCCGAGACUAGGGGAUAGUCCCUCGAAAGAGAGCUUAAUACCCUAUGUUGCCGCCUUAGGACAUCCGCAAGCGGCGAAAGAUUUAUCGGUCUCGGAUGGGGAUGCGUCUGAUUAGCUUGUCGGCGGGGUAACGGCCCACCGAGGCGACGAUCAGUAGGGGUUCUGAGAGGAAGGUCCCCCACAUUGGUACUGAGACACGGACCAAACUCCUACGGGAGGCAGCAGUGAGGAAUAUUGGUCAAUGGACGCAAGUCUGAACCAGCCAAGUAGCGUGCAGGAUGACGGCCCUAUGGGUUGUAAACUGCUUUUGCGCGUGAUUAAAACUGUCCACGUGUGGGCAUUUGCAGUUAGCGCGCGAAUAAGGACCGGCUAAUUCCGUGCCAGCAGCCGCGGUAAUGCGGAAGGUCCUGGUGUUAUCCGGAUUUAUUGGGUUUAAAGGGAGCGUAGGCGGCUUCUUAAGCGUGUUGUGAAACGCCGGUGCUCAACGCCGGCCCUGCAGCGCGAACUGGGGAGCUUGAGUACACGCAAGGGCAGGCGGAAAUUUGUGGUGUAGCGGUGAAAUGCUUAAGAUAUCACGAAGAACCCCCGAUUGCGAAGGCAGCUUGCCCGAGUGUGACUGACCGCUGAAGCUCGAAGGUGCGGGUAUCGAACAGGAUUAGAUACCCUGGUAAGUCCGCACAGUAAAACGAUGGAUGCUCGCCGUCUGCGAUACACAGCAGGUGGGCCCAGCGAAAGCGUUAAGCAUCCCACCUGGGGAGUACGCCGGCAACGGUGAAACUCAAAGGAAUUGACGGGGGCCCGCACAAGCGGAGGAACAUGUGGUUUAAUUCGAUGAUACGCGAGGAACCUUACCCGGGCUUGAAUUGCAGAGGAAAGAUCCAGAGAUGGUGAUGCCCUUUGGGGUCUCUGUGAAGGUGCUGCAUGGUUGUCGUCAGCUCGUGCCGUGAGGUGUCGGCUUAAGUGCCAUAACGAGCGCAACCCUUGCCGUUAGUUGCCAUCAGGUCACGCUGGGCACUCUAUCGGGACUGCCAUCGUAAGAUGUGAGGAAGGUGGGGAUGACGUCAAAUCAGCACGGCCCUCAUGUCCGGGGCUACACACGUGUUACAAUGGGGGGUACAGAGGGAAGCCACCUGGCGACAGGGCGCGGAUCCCGAAAUCCCCUCUCAGUUCGGAUCGGAGUCUGGAACCCGACUCCGUGAAGCUGGAUUCGCUAGUAAUCGCGCAUCAGCCAUGGCGCGGUGAAUACGUUCCCGGGCCUUGUACACACCGCCGGUCA
rnacentral:rRNA from 1 species